GUGCUUGCUUCAGCAGCACAAGCACUAAACUGGAACGAUACUGAGAUUAGCAUGGCCCCUAUGCAAGGAUGACAUGCAAAUAUAUGAAGGGUUCUGUAUUUUU